GGCUUCUCCGCCAUUUAAGGAGGAUUGACGUGUCUUUGGGUACACUUAUGAGAAAGGUUUCUCCGCCGUUAAGGAGGUUGAUAAAACGUUGAUUGAGAAAGGUUUCUCCGCCGUUAAGGAGGUUGAUAAAACGUUGAUAGAGAAAGGCUACUCCGCCGUUAAGGAGGUUGAUAAAACGUUGAUAGAGAAAGGCUACUCCGCCUAGGAGGAGGAUCGACGUGCCUUUGGGUACACUUAUGAAUGAUUGAGUGAAAGCAGUGUGUAAAAGUGUCACCAAGUGGAAUCAGCGCACAGAGUGGAAACCUAACGGUGAUAACAAAAACUCUGUGGUCUGUUGAAGUACACUAGUGGUGAAUUAGGAAUUAGGUUCUGACCGGCACGUUGUCCAGUAGGAACA